GUCCCGCUGUUUUUUCGCUUUCGUUCCUUUCCGGAGCCUAGUUAGUUGGAGGCGAGCUCCACGGGGUGACGUAGGACAGAUGGCGGAAGCAACUGAAGAGGAGCUGGAGCGGCGCGCGUGACGCAGCAAGUCGGGUAAACCGCAGAUCUGGGCUCCGACCUCAGAAUUGGGCACACGAACCCUCUGCCGGAAGAGAACGGCGUCACGAGUAAAACUCAUCGCGUUGCCAUGACCUGUGGGCUUUUUCGGGCAUCCGACAUCGUUUACUAGCCCGAAAUCCAAUUCUCGCAGUUUUCGAAAACUCUGUUAUUUUCCCACUUCAAUUCCGCUGUUAAUCCAAGGCUUUCUAGGAGUAUUUGAGCAAACUUUACCCAGAUUGCCACGCUGCGUCACGGGGCCGCGGAAAAACAAAGAACAGCCACGGCGGAAAGCGGACGCCCGCGACAAUCGAAACGUCAAAAAAGCAAAAGGGAGGGGAUGCAACACGAGGACUUCCCAGGAGGUCACCCAUCCUAGUACUACUCUCGCCCAAACUCGCUUAACUUCGGAGUUCUGAUGGGAUCCGGUGCAUGUGAGUUGGUAUGAUCGCAUCCGUUAGCUUGUAACGCCAAAUUGUAUAAGAGCCACGUUUGUGCCGUGCCAUGUGACCAUGGGUUGGCUAUCCAACACCCCCCUCCGGGCCGCGUGAAAUCACAUGCCGUCGCAUGGAAUGUCAGGCCUUGUCGUCCCCACCCCGGCCCUGUGCCACGGGCAGGCCUGUCGAGGCCCCGGUUCCAAUCGGCCGCGGGGCCUGGCUAACACAGUUGAACCGAAAAGAAGUUCCCCAACAGUUUCGGCAGUGCGUCCGUCCCGCUGUUUUUUCGCUUUCGUUCCUUUCCGGAGCCUAGUUAGUUGGAGGCGAGCUCCACGGGGUGACGUAGGACAGAUGGCGGAAGCAACUGAAGAGGAGCUGGAGCGGCGCGCGUGACGCGGCAAGUCGGGUAAACCGCAGAUCUGGGCUCCGACCUCAGAAUUGGGCCCACGAACCCUCGACCGGAAGAGAACGGCGUCACGAGUAAAACUCAUCGCGUUGCCAUGACCUGUGGGCUUUUUCGGGCAUCCGACAUCGUUUACUAGCCCGAAAUCCAAUUCUCGCAGUUUUCGAAAACUCUGUUAUUUUCCCACUUCAAUUCCGCUGUUAAUCCAAGACUUUCUAGGAGUAUUUGAGCAAACUUUACCCAGAUUGCCACGCUGCGUCACGGGGCCGCGGAAAAACAAAGAACAGCCACGGCGUAAAGCGGACGCCCGCGACAAUCGAAACGUCAAAAAAGCAAAAGGGAGGGGAUGCAACACGAGGACUUCCCAGGAGGUCACCCAUCCUAGUACUACUCUCGCCCAAACUCGCUUAACUUCGGAGUUCUGAUGGGAUCCGGUGCAUGUGAGUUGGUAUGAUCGCAUCCGUUAGCUUGUAACGCCAAAUUGUAUAAGAGCCACGUUUGUGCCGUGCCAUGUGACCAUGGGUUGGCUAUCCAACGCCCCCCUCCGGGCCGCGUGAAAUCACAUGCCGUCGCAUGGAAUGUCAGGCCUUGUCGUCCCCACCCCGGCCCUGUGCCACGGGCAGGCCUGUCGAGGCCCCGGUUCCAAUCGGCCGCGGGGCCUGGCUAACACAGUUGAACCGAAAAGAAGUUCCCCAACAGUUUCGGCGGUGCGUCGGUCCCGCUGUUUUUUCGCUUUCGUUCCUUUCCGGAGCCUAGUUAGUUGGAGGCGAGCUCCACGGGGUGACGUAGGACAGAUGGCGGAAGCAACUGAAGAGGAGCUGGAGCGGCGCGCGUGACGCGGCAAGUCGGGUAAACCGCAGAUCUGGGCUCCGACCUCAGAAUUGGGCCCACGAACCCUCGACCGGAAGAGAACGGCGUCACGAGUAAAACUCAUUGCGUUGCCAUGACCUGUGGGCUUUUUCGGGCAUCCGACAUCGUUUACUAGCCCGAAAUCCAAUUCUCGCAGUUUUCGAAAACUCUGUUAUUUUCCCACUUCAAUUCCGCUGUUAAUCCAAGGCUUUCUAGGAGUAUUUGAGCAAACUUUACCCAGAUUGCCACGCUGCGUCACGGGGCCGCGGAAAAACAAAGAACAGCCACGGCGGAAAGCGGACGCCCGCGACAAUCGAAACGUCAAAAAAGCAAAAGGGAGGGGAUGCAACACGAGGACUUCCCAGGAGGUCACCCAUCCUAGUACUACUCUCGCCCAAACUCGCUUAACUUCGGAGUUCUGAUGGGAUCCGGUGCAUGUGAGUUGGUAUGAUCGCAUCCGUUAGCUUGUAACGCCAAAUUGUAUAAGAGCCACGUUUGUGCCGUGCCAUGUGACCAUGGGUUGGCUAUCCAACGCCCCCCUCCGGGCCGCGUGAAAUCACAUGCCGUCGCAUGGAAUGUCAGGCCUUGUCGUCCCCACCCCGGCCCUGUGCCACGGGCAGGCCUGUCGAGGCCCCGGUUCCAAUCGGCCGCGGGGCCUGGCUAACACAGUUGAACCGAAAAGAAGUUCCCCAACAGUUUCGGCAGUGCGUCGGUCCCGCUGUUUUUUCGUUUUCGUUCCUUUCUGGAGCCUAGUUAGUUGGAGGCGAGCUCCACGGGGUGACGUAGGACAGAUGGCGGAAGCAACUGAAGAGGAGCUGGAGCGGCGCGCGUGAAGCGGCAAGUCGGGUAAACCGCAGAUCUGGGCUCCGACCUCAGAAUUGGGCACACGAACCCUCGGCCGGAAGAGAACGGCGUCACGAGUAAAACUCAUCGCGUUGCCAUGACCUGUGGGCUUUUUCGGGCAUCCGACAUCGUUUACUAGCCCGAAAUCCAAUUCUCGCAGUUUUCGAAAACUCUGUUAUUUUCCCACUUCAAUUCCGCUGUUAAUCCAAGGCUUUCUAGGAGUAUUUGAGCAAACUUUACCCAGAUUGCCACGCUGCGUCACGGGGCCGCGGAAAAACAAAGAACAGCCACGGCGGAAGCGGACGCCCGCGACAAUCGAAACGUCAAAAAAGCAAAAGGGAGGGGAUGCAACACGAGGACUUCCCAGGAGGUCACCCAUCCUAGUACUACUCUCGCCCAAACUCGCUUAACUUCGGAGUUCUGAUGGGAUCCGGUGCAUGUGAGUUGGUAUGAUCGCAUCCGUUAACUUGUAACGCCAAAUUGUAUAAGAGCCACGUUUGUGCCGUGCCAUGUGACCAUGGGUUGGCUAUCCAACGCCCCCCUCCGGGCCGCGUGAAAUCACAUGCCGUCGCAUGGAAUGUCAGGCCUUGUCGUCCCCACCCCGGCCCUGUGCCACGGGCAGGCCUGUCGAGGCCCCGGUUCCAAUCGGCCGCGGGGCCUAGCUAACGACAAUUGAACCGAAAAGAAGUUCCCCAACAGUUUCGGCAGUGCGUCGGUCCCGCUGUUUUUUCGUUUUCGUUCCUUUCCGGAGCCUAGUUAGUUGGAGGCGAGCUCCACGGGGUGACGUAGGACAGAUGGCGGAAGCAACUGAAGAGGAGCUGGAGCGGCGCGCGUGAAGCGGCAAGUCGGGUAAACCGCAGAUCUGGGCUCCGACCUCAGAAUUGGGCACACGAACCCUCGGCCGGAAGAGAACGGCGUCACGAGUAAAACUCAUUGCGUUGCCAUGACCUGUGGGCUUUUUCGGGCAUCCGACAUCGUUUACUAGCCCGAAAUCCAAUUCUCGCAGUUUUCGAAAACUCUGUUAUUUUCCCACUUCAAUUCCGCUGUUAAUCCAAGGCUUUCUAGGAGUAUUUGAGCAAACUUUACCCAGAUUGCCACGCUGCGUCACGGGGCCGCGGAAAAACAAAGAACAGCCACGGCGGAAAGCGGACGCCCGCGACAAUCGAAACGUCAAAAAAGCAAAAGGGAGGGGAUGCAACACGAGGACUUCCCAGGAGGUCACCCAUCCUAGUACUACUCUCGCCCAAACUCGCUUAACUUCGGAGUUCUGAUGGGAUCCGGUGCAUGUGAGUUGGUAUGAUCGCAUCCGUUAGCUUGUAACGCCAAAUUGUAUAAGAGCCACGUUUGUGCUGUGCCAUGUGACCAUGGGUUGGCUAUCCAACGCCCCCCUCCGGGCCGCGUGAAAUCACAUGCCGUCGCAUGGAAUGUCAGGCCUUGUCGUCCCCACCCCGGCCCUGUGCCACGGGCAGGCCUGUCGAGGCCCCGGUUCCAAUCGGCCGCGGGGCCUGGCUAACACAGUUGAACCGAAAAGAAGUUCCCCAACAGUUUCGGCAGUGCGUCGGUCCCGCUGUUUUUUCGCUUUCGUUCCUUUCCGGAGCCUAGUUAGUUGGAGGCGAGCUCCACGGGGUGACGUAGGACAGAUGGCGGAAGCAACUGAAGAGGAGCUGGAGCGGCGCGCGUGACGCGGCAAGUCGGGUAAACCGCAGAUCUGGGCUCCGACCUCAGAAUUGGGCACACGAACCCUCGGCCGGAAGAGAACGGCGUCACGAGUAAAACUCAUUGCGUUGCCAUGACCUGUGGGCUUUUUCGGGCAUCCGACAUCGUUUACUAGCCCGAAAUCCAAUUCUCGCAGUUUUCGAAAACUCUGUUAUUUUCCCACUUCAAUUCCGCUGUUAAUCCAAGACUUUCUAGGAGUAUUUGAGCAAACUUUACCCAGAUUGCCACGCUGCGUCACGGGGCCGCGGAAAAACAAAGAACAGCCACGGCGGAAAGCGGACGCCCGCGACAAUCGAAACGUCAAAAAAGCAAAAGGGAGGGGAUGCAACACGAGGACUUCCCAGGAGGUCACCCAUCCUAGUACUACUCUCGCCCAAACUCGCUUAACUUCGGAGUUCUGAUGGGAUCCGGUGCAUGUGAGUUGGUAUGAUCGCAUCCGUUAGCUUGUAACGCCAAAUUGUAUAAGAGCCACGUUUGUGCCGUGCCAUGUGACCAUGGGUUGGCUAUCCAACGCCCCCCUCCGGGCCGCGUGAAAUCACAUGCCGUCGCAUGGAAUGUCAGGCCUUGUCGUCCCCACCCCGGCCCUGUGCCACGGGCAGGCCUGUCGAGGCCCCGGUUCCAAUCGGCCGCGGGGCCUUGCUAACGACAAUUGAACCGAAAAGAAGUUCCCCAACAGUUUCGGCAGUGCGUCGGUCCCGCUGUUUUUUCGUUUUCGUUCCUUUCCGGAGCCUAGUUAGUUGGAGGCGAGCUCCACGGGGUGAUGUAGGACAGAUGGCGGAAGCAACUGAAGAGGAGCUGGAGCGGCGCGCGUGAAGCGGCAAGUCGGGUAAACCGCAGAUCUGGGCUCCGACCUCAGAAUUGGGCACACGAACCCUCGGCCGGAAGAGAACGGCGUCACGGGUAAAACUCAUGGCGUUGCCAUGACCUGUGGGCUUUUUCGGGCAUCCGACAUCGUUUACUAGCCCGAAAUCCAAUUCUCGCAGUUUUCGAAAACUCUGUUAUUUUCCCACUUCAAUUCCGCUGUUAAUCCAAGGCUUUCUAGGAGUAUUUGAGCAAACUUUACCCAGAUUGCCACGCUGCGUCACGGGGCCGCGGAAAAACAAAGAACAGCCACGGCGGAAAGCGGACGCCCGCGACAAUCGAAACGUCAAAAAAGCAAAAGGGAGGGGAUGCAACACGAGGACUUCCCAGGAGGUCACCCAUCCUAGUACUACUCUCGCCCAAACUCGCUUAACUUCGGAGUUCUGAUGGGAUCCGGUGCAUGUGAGUUGGUAUGAUCGCAUCCGUUAGCUUGUAACGCCAAAUUGUAUAAGAGCCACGUUUGUGCCGUGCCAUGUGACCAUGGGUUGGCUAUCCAACGCCCCCCUCCGGGCCGCGUGAAAUCACAUGCCGUCGCAUGGAAUGUCAGGCCUUGUCGUCCCCACCCCGGCCCUGUGCCACGGGCAGGCCUGUCGAGGCCCCGGUUCCAAUCGGCCGCGGGGCCUGGCUAACACAGUUGAACCGAAAAGAAGUUCCCCAACAGUUUCGGCGGUGCGUCGGUCCCGCUGUUUUUUCGCUUUCGUUCCUUUCCGGAGCCUAGUUAGUUGGAGGCGAGCUCCACGGGGUGACGUAGGACAGAUGGCGGAAGCAACUGAAGAGGAGCUGGAGCGGCGCGCGUGACGCGGCAAGUCGGGUAAACCGCAGAUCUGGGCUCCGACCUCAGAAUUGGGCCCACGAACCCUCGACCGGAAGAGAACGGCGUCACGAGUAAAACUCAUUGCGUUGCCAUGACCUGUGGGCUUUUUCGGGCAUCCGACAUCGUUUACUAGCCCGAAAUCCAAUUCUCGCAGUUUUCGAAAACUCUGUUAUUUUCCCACUUCAAUUCCGCUGUUAAUCCAAGGCCUUCUAGGAGUAUUUGAGCAAACUUUACCCAGAUUGCCACGCUGCGUCACGGGGCCGCGGAAAAACAAAGAACAGCCACGGCGGAAAGCGGACGCCGGCGACAAUCGAAACGUCAAAAAAGCAAAAGGGAGGGGAUGCAACACGAGGACUUCCCAGGAGGUCACCCAUCCUAGUACUACUCUCGCCCAAACUCGCUUAACUUCGGAGUUCUGAUGGGAUCCGGUGCAUGUGAGUUGGUAUGAUCGCAUCCGUUAGCUUGUAACGCCAAAUUGUAUAAGAGCCACGUUUGUGCCGUGCCAUGUGACCAUGGGUUGGCUAUCCAACGCCCCCCUCCGGGCCGCGUGAAAUCACAUGCCGUCGCAUGGAAUGUCAGGCCUUGUCGUCCCCACCCCGGCCCUGUGCCACGGGCAGGCCUGUCGAGGCCCCGGUUCCAAUCGGCCGCGGGGCCUGGCUAACACAGUUGAACCGAAAAGAAGUUCCCCAACAGUUUCGGCAGUGCGUCGGUCCCGCUGUUUUUUCGCUUUCGUUCCUUUCCGGAGCCUAGUUAGUUGGAGGCGAGCUCCACGGGGUGACGUAGGACAGAUGGCGGAAGCAACUGAAGAGGAGCUGGAGCGGCGCGCGUGACGCGGCAAGUCGGGUAAACCGCAGAUCUGGGCUCCGACCUCAGAAUUGGGCCCACGAACCCUCGACCGGAAGAGAACGGCGUCACGAGUAAAACUCAUCGCGUUGCCAUGACCUGUGGGCUUUUUCGGGCAUCCGACAUCGUUUACUAGCCCGAAAUCCAAUUCUCGCAGUUUUCGAAAACUCUGUUAUUUUCCCACUUCAAUUCCGCUGUUAAUCCAAGGCUUUCUAGGAGUAUUUGAGCAAACUUUACCCAGAUUGCCACGCUGCGUCACGGGGCCGCGGAAAAACAAAGAACAGCCACGGCGGAAAGCGGACGCCCGCGACAAUCGAAACGUCAAAAAAGCAAAGGGGAGGGGAUGCAACACGAGGACUUCCCAGGAGGUCACCCAUCCUAGUACUACUCUCGCCCAAACUCGCUUAACUUCGGAGUUCUGAUGGGAUCCGGUGCAUGUGAGUUGGUAUGAUCGCAUCCGUUAGCUUGUAACGCCAAAUUGUAUAAGAGCCACGUUUGUGCCGUGCCAUGUGACCAUGGGUUGGCUAUCCAACGCCCCCCUCCGGGCCGCGUGAAAUCACAUGCCGUCGCAUGGAAUGUCAGGCCUUGUCGUCCCCACCCCGGCCCUGUGCCACGGGCAGGCCUGUCGAGGCCCCGGUUCCAAUCGGCCGCGGGGCCUGGCUAACACAGUUGAACCGAAAAGAAGUUCCCCAACAGUUUCGGCAGUGCGUCGGUCCCGCUGUUUUUUCGCUUUCGUUCCUUUCCGGAGCCUAGUUAGUUGGAGGCGAGCUCCACGGGGUGACGUAGGACAGAUGGCGGAAGCAACUGAAGAGGAGCUGGAGCGGCGCGCGUGACGCGGCAAGUCGGGUAAACCGCAGAUCUGGGCUCCGACCUCAGAAUUGGGCCCACGAACCCUCGACCGGAAGAGAACGGCGUCACGAGUAAAACUCAUUGCGUUGCCAUGACCUGUGGGCUUUUUCGGGCAUCCGACAUCGUUUACUAGCCCGAAAUCCAAUUCUCGCAGUUUUCGAAAACUCUGUUAUUUUCCCACUUCAAUUCCGCUGUUAAUCCAAGGCUUUCUAGGAGUAUUUGAGCAAACUUUACCCAGAUUGCCACGCUGCGUCACGGGGCCGCGGAAAAACAAAGAACAGCCACGGCGGAAAGCGGACGCCCGCGACAAUCGAAACGUCAAAAAAGCAAAAGGGAGGGGAUGCAACACGAGGACUUCCCAGGAGGUCACCCAUCCUAGUACUACUCUCGCCCAAACUCGCUUAACUUCGGAGUUCUGAUGGGAUCCGGUGCAUGUGAGUUGGUAUGAUCGCAUCCGUUAGCUUGUAACGCCAAAUUGUAUAAGAGCCACGUUUGUGCCGUGCCAUGUGACCAUGGGUUGGCUAUCCAACGCCCCCCUCCGGGCCGCGUGAAAUCACAUGCCGUCGCAUGGAAUGUCAGGCCUUGUCGUCCCCACCCCGGCCCUGUGCCACGGGCAGGCCUGUCGAGGCCCCGGUUCCAAUCGGCCGCGGGGCCUAGCUAACGACAAUUGAACCGAAAAGAAGUUCCCCAACAGUUUCGGCAGUGCGUCGGUCCCGCUGUUUUUUCGUUUUCGUUCCUUUCCGGAGCCUAGUUAGUUGGAGGCGAGCUCCACGGGGUGACGUAGGACAGAUGGCGGAAGCAACUGAAGAGGAGCUGGAGCGGCGCGCGUGAAGCGGCAAGUCGGGUAAACCGCAGAUCUGGGCUCCGACCUCAGAAUUGGGCACACGAACCCUCGGCCGGAAGAGAACGGCGUCACGAGUAAAACUCAUUGCGUUGCCAUGACCUGUGGGCUUUUUCGGGCAUCCGACAUCGUUUACUAGCCCGAAAUCCAAUUCUCGCAGUUUUCGAAAACUCUGUUAUUUUCCCACUUCAAUUCCGCUGUUAAUCCAAGGCUUUCUAGGAGUAUUUGAGCAAACUUUACCCAGAUUACCACGCUGCGUCACGGGGCCGCGGAAAAACAAAGAACAGCCACGGCGGAAAGCGGACGCCCGCGACAAUCGAAACGUCAAAAAAGCAAAAGGGAGGGGAUGCAACACGAGGACUUCCCAGGAGGUCACCCAUCCUAGUACUACUCUCGCCCAAACUCGCUUAACUUCGUAGUUCUGAUGGGAUCCGGUGCAUGUGAGUUGGUAUGAUCGCAUCCGUUAGCUUGUAACGCCAAAUUGUAUAAGAGCCACGUUUGUGCCGUGCCAUGUGACUAUGGGUUGGCUAUCCAACGCCCCCCUCCGGGCCGCGUGAAAUCACAUGCCGUCGCAUGCAAUGGCAUGGGCUGUCAGGCCUUGUCGUCCCCACCCCGGCCCUGUGCCACGGGCAGGCCUGUCGAGGCCCCGGUUCCAAUCGGCCGCGGGGCCUAGCUAACGACAAUUGAACCGAAAAGAAGUUCCCCAACAGUUUCGGCAGUGCGUCGGUCCCGCUGUUUUUUCGUUUUCGUUCCUUUCCGGAGCCUAGUUAGUUGGAGGCGAGCUCCACGGGGUGACGUAGGACAGAUGGCGGAAGCAACUGAAGAGGAGCUGGAGCGGCGCGCGUGAAGCGGCAAGUCGGGUAAACCGCAGAUCUGGGCUCCGACCUCAGAAUUGAGCACACGAACCCUCGGCCGGAAGAGAACGGCGUCACGGGUAAAACUCAUGGCGUUGCCAUGACCUGUGGGCUUUUUCGGGCAUCCGACAUCGUUUACUAGCCCGAAAUCCAAUUCUCGCAGUUUUCGAAAACUCUGUUAUUUUCCCACUUCAAUUCCGCUGUUAAUCCAAGGCUUUCUAGGAGUAUUUGAGCAAACUUUACCCAGAUUGCCACGCUGCGUCACGGGGCCGCGGAAAAACAAAGAACAGCCACGGCGGAAAGCGGACGCCCGCGACAAUCGAAACGUCAAAAAGGCAAAAGGGAGGGGAUGCAACACGAGGACUUCCCAGGAGGUCACCCAUCCUAGUACUACUCUCGCCCAAACUCGCUUAACUUCGGAGUUCUGAUGGGAUCCGGUGCAUGUGAGUUGGUAUGAUCGCAUCCGUUAGCUUGUAACGCCAAAUUGUAUAAGAGCCACGUUUGUGCCGUGCCAUGUGACCAUGGGUUGGCUAUCCAACGCCCCCCUCCGGGCCGCGUGAAAUCACAUGCCGUCGCAUGGAAUGUCAGGCCUUGUCGUCCCCACCCCGGCCCUGUGCCACGGGCAGGCCUGUCGAGGCCCCGGUUCCAAUCGGCCGCGGGGCCUAGCUAAUGACAAUUGAACCGAAAAGAAGUUCCCCAACAGCUUCGGCAGUGCGUCGGUCCCGCUGUUUUUUCGUUUUCGUUCCUUUCCGGAGCCUAGUUAGUUGGAGGCGAGCUCCACGGGGUGACGUAGGACAGAUGGCGGAAGCAACUGAAGAGGAGCUGGAGCGGCGCGCGUGAAGCGGCAAGUCGGGUAAACCGCAGAUCUGGGCUCCGACCUCAGAAUUGGGCACACGAACCCUCGGCCGGAAGAGAACGGCGUCACGAGUAAAACUCAUUGCGUUGCCAUGACCUGUGGGCUUUUUCGGGCAUCCGACAUCGUUUACUAGCCCGAAAUCCAAUUCUCGCAGUUUUCAAAAACUCUGUUAUUUUCCCACUUCAAUUCCGCUGUUAAUCCAAGGCUUUCUAGGAGUAUUUGAGCAAACUUUACCCAGAUUGCCACGCUGCGUCACGGGGCCGCGGAAAAACAAAGAACAGCCACGGCGGAAAGCGGACGCCCGCGACAAUCGAAACGUCAAAAAAGCAAAAGGGAGGGGAUGCAACACGAGGACUUCCCAGGAGGUCACCCAUCCUAGUACUACUCUCGCCCAAACUCGCUUAACUUCGGAGUUCUGAUGGGAUCCGGUGCAUGUGAGUUGGUAUGAUCGCAUCCGUUAGCUUGUAACGCCAAAUUGUAUAAGAGCCACGUUUGUGCCGUGCCAUGUGACCAUGGGUUGGCUAUCCAACGCCCCCCUCCGGGCCGCGUGAAAUCACAUGCCGUCGCAUGGAAUGUCAGGCCUUGUCGUUCCCACCCCGGCCCUGUGCCACGGACAGGCCUGUCGAGGCCCCGGUUCCAAUCGGCCGCGGGGCCUGGCUAACACAGUUGAACCGAAAAGAAGUUCCCCAACAGUUUCGGCAGUGCGUCGGUCCCGCUGUUUUUUCGCUUUCGUUCCUUUCCGGAGCCUAGUUAGUUGGAGGCGAGCUCCACGGGGUGACGUAGGACAGAUGGCGGAAGCAACUGAAGAGGAGCUGGAGCGGCGCGCGUGAAGCGGCAAGUCGGGUAAACCGCAGAUCUGGGCUCCGACCUCAGAAUUGGGCACACGAACCCUCGGCCGGAAGAGAACGGCGUCACGAGUAAAACUCAUUGCGUUGCCAUGACCUGUGGGCUUUUUCGGGCAUCCGACAUCGUUUACUAGCCCGAAAUCCAAUUCUCGCAGUUUUCGAAAACUCUGUUAUUUUCCCACUUCAAUUCCGCUGUUAAUCCAAGGCUUUCUAGGAGUAUUUGAGCAAACUUUACCCAGAUUGCCACGCUGCGUCACGGGGCCGCGGAAAAACAAAGAACAGCCACGGCGGAAAGCGGACGCCCGCGACAAUCGAAACGUCAAAAAAGCAAAAGGGAGGGGAUGCAACACGAGGACUUCCCAGGAGGUCACCCAUCCUAGUACUACUCUCGCCCAAACUCGCUUAACUUCGGAGUUCUGAUGGGAUCCGGUGCAUGUGAGUUGGUAUGAUCGCAUCCGUUAGCUUGUAACGCCAAAUUGUAUAAGAGCCACGUUUGUGCCGUGCCAUGUGACCAUGGGUUGGCUAUCCAACGCCCCCCUCCGGGCCGCGUGAAAUCACAUGCCGUCGCAUGGAAUGUCAGGCCUUGUCGUCCCCACCCCGGCCCUGUGCCACGGGCAGGCCUGUCGAGGCCCCGGUUCCAAUCGGCCGCGGGGCCUGGCUAACGACAGUUGAACCGAAAAGAAGUUCCCCAACAGUUUCGGCAGUGCGUCGGUCCCGCUGUUUUUUCGCUUUCGUUCAUUUUCGGAGCCUAGUUAGUUGGAGGCGAGCUCCACGGGGUGACGUAGGACAGAUGGCGGAAGCAACUGAAGAGGAGCUGGAGCGGCGCGCGUGACGCGGCAAGUCGGGUAAACCGCAGAUCUGGGCUCCGACCUCAGAAUUGGGCACACGAACCCUCUGCCGGAAGAGAACGGCGUCACGAGUAAAACUCAUCGCGUUGCCAUGACCUGUGGGCUUUUUCGGGCAUCCGACAUCGUUUACUAGCCCGAAAUCCAAUUCUCGCAGUUUUCGAAAACUCUGUUAUUUUCCCACUUCAAUUCCGCUGUUAAUCCAAGGCUUUCUAGGAGUAUUUGAGCAAACUUUACCCAGAUUGCCACGCUGCGUCACGGGGCCGCGGAAAAACAAAGAACAGCCACGGCGGAAAGCGGACGCCCGCGACAAUCGAAACGUCAAAAAAGCAAAAGGGAGGGGAUGCAACACGAGGACUUCCCAGGAGGUCACCCAUCCUAGUACUACUCUCGCCCAAACUCGCUUAACUUCGGAGUUCUGAUGGGAUCCGGUGCAUGUGAGUUGGUAUGAUCGCAUCCGUUAGCUUGUAACGCCAAAUUGUAUAAGAGCCACGUUUGUGCCGUGCCAUGUGACCAUGGGUUGGCUAUCCAACGCCCCCCUCCGGGCCGCGUGAAAUCACAUGCCGUCGCAUGGAAUGUCAGGCCUUGUCGUCCCCACCCCGGCCCUGUGCCACGGGCAGGCCUGUCGAGGCCCCGGUUCCAAUCGGCCGCGGGGCCUAGCUAACACAGUUGAACCGAAAAGAAGUUCCCCAACAGUUUCGGCAGUGCGUCGGUCCCGCUGUUUUUUCGUUUUCGUUCCUUUCCGGAGCCUAGUUAGUUGGAGGCGAGCUCCACGGGGUGACGUAGGACAGAUGGCGGAAGCAACUGAAGAGGAGCUGGAGCGGCGCGCGUGAAGCGGCAAGUCGGGUAAACCGCAGAUCUGGGCUCCGACCUCAGAAUUGGGCACACGAACCCUCGGCCGGAAGAGAACGGCGUCACGAGUAAAACUCAUUGCGUUGCCAUGACCUGUGGGCUUUUUCGGGCAUCCGACAUCGUUUACUAGCACGAAAUCCAAUUCUCGCAGUUUUCGAAAACUCUGUUAUUUUCCCACUUCAAUUCCGCUGUUAAUCCAAGGCUUUCUAGGAGUAUUUGAGCAAACUUUACCCAGAUUGCCACGCUGCGUCACGGGGCCGCGGAAAAACAAAGAACAGCCACGGCGGAAGCGGACGCCCGCGACAAUCGAAACGUCAAAAAAGCAAAAGGGAGGGGAUGCAACACGAGGACUACCCAGGAGGUCACCCAUCCUAGUACUACUCUCGCCCAAACUCGCUUAACUUCGGAGUUCUGAUGGGAUCCGGUGCAUGUGAGUUGGUAUGAUCGCAUCCGUUAGCUUGUAACGCCAAAUUGUAUAAGAGCCACGUUUGUGCCGUGCCAUGUGACCAUGGGUUGGCUAUCCAACGCCACCCUCCGGGCCGCGUGAAAUCACAUGCCGUCGCAUGGAAUGUCAGGCCUUGUCGUCCCCACCCCGGCCCUGUGCCACGGGCAGGCCUGUCGAGGCCCCGGUUCCAAUCGGCCGCGGGGCCUAGCUAACGACAAUUGAACCGAAAAGAAGUUCCCCAACAGUUUCGGCAGUGCGUCGGUCCCGCUGUUUUUUCGUUUUCGUUCCUUUCCGGAGCCUAGUUAGUUGGAGGCGAGCUCCACGGGGUGACGUAGGACAGAUGGCGGAAGCAACUGAAGAGGAGCUGGAGCGGCGCGCGUGAAGCGGCAAGUCGGGUAAACCGCAGAUCUGGGCUCCGACCUCAGAAUUGGGCACACGAACCCUCGGCCGGAAGAGAACGGCGUCACGGGUAACACUCAUGGCGUUGCCAUGACCUGUGGGCUUUUUCGGGCAUCCGACAUCGUUUACUAGCCCGAAAUCCAAUUCUCGCAGUUUUCGAAAACUCUGUCAUUUUCCCACUUCAAUUCCGCUGUUAAUCCAAGGCUUUCUAGGAGUAUUUGACCAAACUUUACCCAGAUUGCCACGCUGCGUCACGGGGCCGCGGAAAAACAAAGAACAGCCACGGCGGAAAGCGGACGCCCGCGACAAUCGAAACGUCAAAAAAGCAAAAGGGAGGGGAUGCAACACGAGGACUUCCCAGGAGGUCACCCAUCCUAGUACUACUCUCGCCCAAACUCGCUUAACUUCGGAGUUCUGAUGGGAUCCGGUGCAUGUGAGUUGGUAUGAUCGCAUCCGUUAGCUUGUAACGCCAAAUUGUAUAAGAGCCACGUUUGUGCCGUGCCAUGUGACCACGGGUUGGCUAUCCAACGCCCCCCAGCGGGCCGCGUGAAAUCACAUGCCGUCGCAUGGAAUGUCAGGCCUUGUCGUCCCCACCCCGGCCCUGUGCCACGGGCAGGCCUGUCGAGGCCCCGGUUCCAAUCGGCCGCGGGGCCUGGCUAACACAGUUGAACCGAAAAGAAGUUCCCCAACAGUUUCGGCAGUGCGUCGGUCCCGCUGUUUUUUCGUUUUCGUUCCUUUCCGGAGCCUAGUUAGUUGGAGGCGAGCUCCACGGGGUGACGUAGGACAGAUGGCGGAAGCAACUGAAGAGGAGCUGGAGCGGCGCGCGUGACGCGGCAAGUCGGGUAAACCGCAGAUCUGGGCUCCGACCUCAGAAUUGGGCACACGAACCCUCGGCCGGAAGAGAACGGCGUCACGAGUAAAACUCAUCGCGUUGCCAUGACCUGUGGGCUUUUUCGGGCAUCCGACAUCGUUUACUAGCCCGAAAUCCAAUUCUCGCAGUUUUCGAAAACUCUGUUAUUUUCCCACUUCAAUUCCGCUGUUAAUCCAAGGCUUUCUAGGAGUAUUUGAGCAAACUUUACCCAGAUUGCCACGCUGCGUCACGGGGCCGCGGAAAAACAAAGAACAGCCACGGCGGAAAGCGGACGCCCGCGACAAUCGAAACGUCAAAAAAGCAAAAGGGAGGGGAUGCAACACGAGGACUUCCCAGGAGGUCACCCAUCCUAGUACUACUCUCGCCCAAACUCGCUUAACUUCGGAGUUCUGAUGGGAUCCGGUGCAUGUGAGUUGGUAUGAUCGCAUCCGUUAGCUUGUAACGCCAAAUUGUAUAAGAGCCACGUUUGGGCCGUGCCAUGUGACCAUGGGUUGGCUAUCCAACGCCCCCCUCCGGGCCGCGUGAAAUCGCAUGCCGUCGCAUGGAAUGUCAGGCCUUGUCGUCCCCACCCCGGCCCUGUGCCACGGGCAGGCCUGUCGAGGCCCCGGUUCCAAUCGGCCGCGGGGCCUAGCUAACGACAAUUGAACCGAAAAGAAGUUCCCCAACAGUUUCGGCAGUGAGUCGGUCCCGCUGUUUUUUCGUUUUCGUUCCUUUCCGGAGCCUAGUUAGUUGGAGGCGAGCUCCACGGGGUGAUGUAGGACAGAUGGCGGAAGCAACUGAAGAGGAGCUGGAGCGGCGCGCGUGAAGCGGCAAGUCGGGUAAACCGCAGAUCUGGGCUCCGACCUCAGAAUUGGGCACACGAACCCUCUGCCGGAAGAGAACGGCGUCACGAGUAAAACUCAUCGCGUUGCCAUGACCUGUGGGCUUUUUCGGGCAUCCGACAUCGUUUACUAGCCCGAAAUCCAAUUCUCGCAGUUUUUGAAAACUCUGUUAUUUUCCCACUUCAAUUCCGCUGUUAAUCCAAGGCUUUCUAGGAGUAUUUGAGCAAACUUUACCCAGAUUGCCACGCUGCGUCACGGGGCCGCGGAAAAACAAAGAACAGCCACGGCGGAAAGCGGACGCCCGCGACAAUCGAAACGUCAAAAAAGCAAAAGGGAGGGGAUGCAACACGAGGACUUCCCAGGAGGUCACCCAUCCUAGUACUACUCUCGCCCAAACUCGCUUAACUUCGGAGUUCUGAUGGGAUCCGGUGCAUGUGAGUUGGUAUGAUCGCAUCCGUUAGCUUGUAACGCCAAAUUGUAUAAGAGCCACGUUUGUGCCGUGCCAUGUGACCAUGGGUUGGCUAUCCAACGCCCCCCUCCGGGCCGCGUGAAAUCACAUGCCGUCGCAUGGAAUGUCAGGCCUUGUCGUCCCCACCCCGGCCCUGUGCCACGGGCAGGCCUGUCGAGGCCCCGGUUCCAAUCGGCCGCGGGGCCUGGCUAACGACAGUUGAACCGAAAAGAAGUUCCCCAACAGUUUCGGCAGUGCGUCGGUCCCGCUGUUUUUUCGCUUUCGUUCAUUUUCGGAGCCUAGUUAGUUGGAGGCGAGCUCCACGGGGUGACGUAGGACAGAUGGCGGAAGCAACUGAAGAGGAGCUGGAGCGGCGCGCGUGACGCGGCAAGUCGGGUAAACCGCAGAUCUGGGCUCCGACCUCAGAAUUGGGCACACGAACCCUCUGCCGGAAGAGAACGGCGUCACGAGUAAAACUCAUUGCGUUGCCAUGACCUGUGGGCUUUUUCGGGCAUCCGACAUCGUUUACUAGCCCGAAAUCCAAUUCUCGCAGUUUUCGAAAACUCUGUUAUUUUCCCACUUCAAUUCCG
rnacentral:lncRNA from 1 species